CAUUUGUUUUAUAUUUGAUAAUGUAUAGGAGAAUGUUUUAGAAUUGACUUGAUGGUUAGGUAAAUGUCAAGUCUGUUCUUGAAUCCCUGUCCUGUGCAACUUCGUUUUCAUGUUGAUGGUAAUGCCCAGGAGUGAUAAGGAUCUAUUUACAUACCUCUUUAGGGACUUUAGCUUUCAGGAAAUAGGAAAGCUGUUCCUGUAACACCUUAAAUACAUAAAUUGUGGUGAGCAGUUUAAAUUAUGUGAGUGGUUUAGCUUUUAAAAAUUCCUCGAAAAGCUUUGGUAUUGAACUUAGAUUCAAAUAAGACAUAUUGGUGGAGAGAAAAAGGGAGUAAAUGAGGUUGAAAAUCAUCAAGAUCUGCGGGUCAAAUCCACUUUAAUACAAGUUAUAUUAUCAAAAGAAAGGCAAGAUUUUAUUUUCUUUGAAGAUUAGUUAAAAGUUGUCUGUUUCUUUUUUCCCCUGCCCUCCUUUACCUUCUCUGAUCUUUUCCAAGUCACUUUCAUUUGAAAAGUCAUUUCUUUCUUGGAAUAAUCUACUGUGUAUAAGUUUUCAGCUAUGGAUUGAAACAUGGGCAUUUUUAUGAUACCAAAAUUAUUUCUUUUCUUCUCUCUUUUUUGCCUGCCUAUCACAAAUGCCUGGGAAGAUUGUCUCUUCCUUGACUAGAUCCCAAAGAAAGUUUUUUGUUUUGAAACCAAAAACAUUUUCCAUAGCAUAAUCUUUGAAUUUGUCUUCUUAACUUUUUCUUUUCUUUCUUUCUUUCUUUCUUUCUUCUUUCUUUCUUUCUUUCUUUCUUUCUUUCUUUCUUCUUUCCUUCGUUCUUUUUUUUUUCUUUGCUGUCAUUUCAGAGGGAUAAACAAAGGGACUAAGAUCUUUCACUGUUUCUUAUCAAGUGAAAGCAUCUUAAAUUCUAAUUUCAGUUUUCACAAUACUUUCCCGUUUUCUGAGUAGCCUGUGGAUUGCUCUUCUUUCUAUAGGUUUUCACUCCUAUAAUUUUAGGUUUUUCUUUCCCAUUUGAUAAUAGUCUAUCCUUAUUGUUUGUUUCAUCUCCUCCUCCUCAUUAUCUUAACCACUUCUUAUCAAGGCCUCUUUCUAGACAGGGUUUUAGGCCCUAUCAGUGUGGCUUGUACUAGACUUACAACGGCCUACAUGUUUUACAGAUAGGAAACUGAAGCUAAGGUAGAGGGUUAGGCCAGAUAAUGGCUCCCAAAGAUGUCCACACUAAUCUCCAGAACCUGGAAAUAUGUUUUACCUUAUAUGGCCAAAGGGACUUUGCAGCCAUAAGUACGAUUUAGACCUUGAGAGGGGGAGAUUGUUUGGGGGUUAUCUGGGUGGGUCCAAUCUAAUCACAUGACUCCUUAGAUGCAAAACCUUUCCUGCCUGGGUUACAGAGAAAUUUGACAAAGAGAAAAGUCACCGGCUUCAGAGUCAAAGAAGAGACUACGAGGAAAAAAUGCAGGCGAUCCUAGGAGCUGGGAAAGAGAAGGAAACAGUCUUCUCUAGAGCUUCCAGUAUGAACACAGCCUUGUCAACAAUUUAAUUUUAGCCUGGGUCUCGCCAGAGACCAGAGCUGCAAGCCUUCAUCUUUUGUCUUAAAUAUCUCGCACGGUGUACACUUCUUGAGAGAAUCCAGUUUAUAAAUGAUAGUAGAAAAAUACACAUAGUUGACGUGACCCUGCUGUAGUACUCCAUCAACAAUGAGUUUGAAAAGCAAGAGAUGAAAAUUGAAAAAUGCAAAACAAAGAUUUGUAAAUAUUGACGAAACAAAGGACACUUUAGGAAGGAUUCCAAGAACUCCCUGUACUUUCAAUACCUUCACUUUGGAGUUACCUUCAAAGAGGCUAAGAUUGUAGCUGAAAACGGUCCAGCUUCUCCCACACCUUGAGAGACUGCGUUGCUGUAAGGUAACCUUCAGGACAGAAAACAGCAGCGGGGGUGUGGGAUGGGGAAAGUGGUUGGAUGGCUGAAAGUAUUGUAACACAGUACUGAACUUCUUGUUUUGCACAAAUGUUUAUGGAAUAAAGUGUCUUCUUUUCCAC